GUGCCAGCAGCCGCGGUAAGACGGAGGAUGCAAGCGUUAUCCGGAAUGAUUGGGCGUAUUGCGUCUGUAGGUGGUUUAUUAAGUCUGCUGUUAAAGCACAGGGCUCAACCCUGUAGAGGCGGUAGAAACUGGUAGGCUUGAGUAUGGUAGGGGUAGAGGGAAUUCCCGAUGUAGUGGUGAAAUGCGUUGAUAUCGGGAAGAACACCAAAGGCGAAAGCACUCUGCUGGGCCAAUACUGACACUGAGAGACGAAAGCUAGGGGAGCAAAUGGGAUUAGAUACCCCAGUAGUCC
rnacentral:rRNA from 1 species